GGAGAAACAGGAAGUGUCCCCUUUUCCCCUCCACUCUUCCUCCAGCGGCACAAUGUGAUCCACCAGCAAGGAGGGACGCCAAUAAGGCAUCCAAUAAGAUAAGUCUUAUAAAAUAUAUAGAUUUAUGAUAAUUAAGACUGAGCUAACAGAUGAGAAAUCCUAGUCAUUGGCCAAGCAGCUUUGUACCUAAUAUGUUUCUGUAUUAUUUUGUCCAUCCACGUGGUUAAGCUCGGCGGCUUUUGGCAGAAAGAUUUAUCGUAGCAUCCAGCUGUCUUAGGAAAAAUAUUAUAAGAUUCCAGAAUUGAGGUGCAGUCUAACCUGACUGUUUUCUUAAACCAUUCCAAAUAAGACCAGUUGUUUCAGGAUCUGCUGUGUUUUAGUGAAAGAAGUUCCAACUAUUUGCCCCUUAACCUUGAUUCACCUUUGCCAUACUUUAUUAUGAAUUUUUCAGUUUUGUAUCAAAAAGUGGAAGAAGAACAAAUAGCCAAAAAAUGACAGUUUUUUAAGACUGAAUUUAGAGCAAUAUUAGAUUCCCUAAAAAAAUUGACUGAUGGUGUAAAUAUUUCCCACACAGUAACUUUUAUUUGGAGACUGACCAAUAUCUCAUUCUGGCUUAGAACUCAUGGUCUUCCUUUGUCAACUUUCUGAGAGAUGGUGUUACAAGUAUACACUAUUGAGACUAGAAGCUAUUUUAAUCAUGUACUAUGAUCUAGGCAUUGUUAUAAGGCCACAAUGUCUAUAUAUCAUGUAAACUAGACAAUAACCUUGUGAGACAGGUGUGUUAAACAGUUAUUUUAUAGACAAAUCAACUGGGGCCCAGAGGCAAAAUAACUUUCCCAAUAAUAUAGCUAAAUAUGGCAUUGUUCUAUAUAGUGGCAGAAAGUUUUUUUUUUAGCUAUGACACAGUAUUUAAAAAGACAAGGAAACAAAAUUUAUCAUAAGCACAUUUAUUCUUGCAAAUGAUUAUCUACUGAAAAUGACUGGAACAUCUCUCCUCUUGUUUAAUACCAUUUGGAUUCUAGAAGCUUUUGAAGGCAGCACUUGUACUGGUAAAAUAUAAUUGUUCAUGAAACUGACAACCACGUAACUUUUAUGUAUUUCUUUGUAAUGACUCGGAGUCUCUGUGCAUUUCCUUCAUUAUCUGUCAUGUGGGCUCGUGACAAGGGAGCAGCCAUUUUUUGAAGAGGCUCCACUAAAUAUUUGUAUCUCCCAUUUAACCUUCUUUUGACAAUCAGAUAAUUCUUUCUCAAAUCAGUCUCUUAUAGAGCAUGCCUGUUUUCUCAAAGACAGAGAAUCCAUCUUAAUGAUUUUUGUGUUCAAAUAUCUGAGCAGCCCUAAAAUCUCUAGAUAUUUGAUGAAUGCUUGACGAUGAGUGAUUACAUCAUCACCCAGAGGAUCUCAAGGGGAGUGUUUGAGAAAGUAGAGGGGAAAAGCUGAGAGUCAACGAAUGUAUUUUCUGAACAAGUUGGCAGCUGUGUGAGAGGAGAGUUAAGAACCUGGCUCACUGUUGCAUCCUUUCUGACCUUCUCAUAAAUUUUCCAAAUGCAGAAUAUCAAUUAAAUCUCACACCUAUUCUUUUAAUAUAAAACAUCACUGAAUUGUUUUACUGAUGAAAGCAAAUGCUAUAUCAGACAUGGAGGCUGAGGAGAGCAUGGCUUGCCUUGUAAGCAUCUUCCUGACUCCCCUGCCUUUGGAGUUCUAAGAACCAGUUAGAAUAAGAGCAAUUGAAGUUGUAUACCAUCCAUCAGGACUCUAGGACAAUUUCUGAGAAGGCAAACCUUUGGAGAGUUAAAGGCAUAAGAAGAAUAUGUUCAGAAUAUAUUGCAUGAAAAAAUUUAAUCAGAACAAAAUCACAAUGGUAGAAGAAAAUUAGUGUGCCUUGCAUGCUGAAAUUAUAACUUAAGAGCCUUCAUCCAGUAGCUGAUGGAAACAGAAGCAGAGACCCACAGCUAAACACUGAACUGAACUCCUGGAAUCCAGUUGCAGAUAGGGAGGAGUGAUGAGCAAACUGGUCAAGACCAGGCUGGUGAAACCCACAGAACCAGCUGACCUGAACAAGGAAGAGCACAUGGAUCCCAGACUGAUAUCUGGGAAACCAGCAAAGAACUGAUUCCAGACUCCCUGAAUGUUGGUGUCAGUGAGGAGACCUUGGCAAUCUAUGGAGCCUCUGGUAGUGGAUCAGUAUUUAUCCCUAGCAUAUGAAUGCACUUUGGGAGCCCAUUCCACAUAGAAGGAUAUUCUCUCAGCCUAGACACAUGGGGGAGGGCCUAGGCCCUGCUCCAAAGGAUAUGACAGACUCUGAUGAUCCCCAAUGGAAGACCUCACCCUCCCUGGGGAGCAGGAAGAGGAUGGAAUGGGGGUUAGUGGGGGGCAGGAGAGGAGGGGGGAGAGGGAACUGGGAUUGACAUGUAAAACAAGCUUGUUUCUAAUUUAAAUAAAAAAUAGAAAAAAAAUAAAAUUAAAAUAAAAAAAAAUAUGUAUACUGGC
ensembl:lncRNA